rnacentral:rRNA from 1 species
ACGCGUGGGAAUAUGCCCUAGAGUACGGAAUAACCAAGGGAAACUCUGGCUAAUACCGUAUACGCCCUACAGGGGAAAGAUUUAUCGCUCUGGGAUUAGCCCGCGUCUGAUUAGCUUGUUGGUGAGGUAACGGCUCACCAAGGCGACGAUCAGUAGCUGGUCUGAGAGGAUGGCCAGUCAUACUGGGACUGAGACACGGCCCAGACUCCUACGGGAGGCAGCAGUGGGGAAUAUUGGACAAUGGGGGCAACCCUGAUCCAGCCAUGCCGCGUGAGUGAAGAAGGCCCUCGGGUUGUAAAGCUCUUUCAGCAGGGACGAUGAUGACGGUACCUGCAGAAGAAGCCCCGGCUAACUCCGUGCCAGCAGCCGCGGUAAUACGGAGGGGGCUAGCGUUGUUCGGAAUUAC